GCAAUCUCGGAAACAAUCUGGGGGAUACGCGAGCGUGCAUUCGGGCUGAGUGACCACUCGUAGGGUAGGUAUCGAUAAUCUCUUUAUCGAUAGACGGGAUACUAAUGUCGCGGCGGCGACAUGUGAAUGGGAAACCCAACA
rfam:Vibrio panuliri strain CAIM 703 CAIM703_2, whole genome shotgun sequence.